AAAAGGUUUUAAUUUCUGCUCAGGACGAACGCUGGCGGCGUGCCUAAUACAUGCAAGUCGAACGCUUCUUUUUCCACCGGAGAUUUUUUGACACUGGAAAAAGAAGAGUGGCGAACGGGGGAGUAACACGUGGGUAUCCUGCCCCUCUAGAAGGGGAGAGCGCCUGGAAGACAGGUGUCUAAUACCGUAUAUCAAUCUAUAUCCGCAUGGUUUUGAUUUGAAAGGCGCUUUUGAUGUGUCUAUGAUGGAUGGAGGACGCGGUGCAUUAGGUAGUUGGUGAGGUAACGGCUCACCAAGGCCACGAUGCAUAACCGACCUGAGAGGGUGAUCGUCCACAUUGGGUCUGAGACGCGGCUCAAACUCCUUCGGGAGGCAGCAGUAGGCAAUCUUCGGCAAUAGACGACAGUGUGGCAUAGCAACCCAGCGUGAGUGACGAAGGUCUUCCGAUCGUAAAGAUCUGUUGUUAGAGAAGAACAAGGAUGAGAGUUCCUGUUCAUCCCUUGUCGGUAUCUCACCAGAAAAACCCGGGUAUAUAUGUGCCACCACCCGCGGUAAUAUGUAGGGGGCAAGAGUUGUCCGGAUUUUUUGGGGGUAAAAAGAGCGCAGACGGUUUUUUAACUGUGAUGUGAAAACCCCCGGCUCAUCCCCGGAGGGUCACCGGAAACUGGGACACUUGAGAGCAGAAGAGGAGAGAGGAAUUCCAUGAGUAGCGGUGAAAAACGUAGAUAUAUGGAGGAACACCACUGGGGAAGAGGGCUCUCUGGUCUGUAUCUGACGCUGAGGCUCGAAAGAGUGGGGAGCACACACGAUUAGAUACCCCGGUAGACCCCGCCGUAAACGAUGAGUAUAAGUCUGGAGGGUUUCCGCCCUUCAGUGGUGCAGCUAACGCAUAAGCAUCCGCCUGGAGUC
rnacentral:rRNA from 1 species